rnacentral:rRNA from 1 species
GUGAGGAAUAUUGGACAAUGGGCGCAAGCCUGAUCCAGCCAUGCCGCGUGCAGGAAGACGCAUCUAUGGUGUGUAAACUGCUUUUGUACGGGAAGAAACACUCCCUCGUGAGGGAGCUUGACGGUACCGUAAGAAUAAGGAUCGGCUAACUCCGUGCCAGCAGCCGCGGUAAUACGGAGGAUCCAAGCGUUAUCCGGAAUCAUUGGGUUUAAAGGGUCCGUAGGCGGUUUAAUAAGUCAGGGGUGAAAGCCCAUCGCUCAACGAUGGAACGGCCAUUGAUACUGUUAGACUUGAAUUACAAGGAAGUAACUAGAAUAUGUAGUGUAGCGGUGAAAUGCUUAGAUAUUACAUGGAAUACCAAUUGCGAAGGCAGGUUACUACUUGUGGAUUGACGCUGAUGGACGAAAGCGUGGGGAGCGAACAGGAUUAGAAACCCCGGUAGUCC